rnacentral:rRNA from 1 species
CUGAACAUUGAGCCUUGAUGUGUAGGAUAGGUGGGAGGCUUUGAAGCGUGGACGCCAGUCUGCGUGGAGCCAACCUUGAAAUACCACCCUUUAAUGUUUGAUGUUCUAACGUUGGCCCGUAAUCCGGGUUGCGGACAGUGUCUGGUGGGUAGUUUGACUGGGGCGGUCUCCUCCCAAAGAGUAACGGAGGAGCACGAAGGUUAGCUAAUCCUGGUCGGACAUCAGGAG